UCGCCUCCUACCUGCUCGAGCGCGGCAUCGCCUCCUCACCGCGCCCCGGCCGGUUCAGACACGGCCCCGUCGCGCUGUUCCGCUCCGCCGGCGCUCGUCACCACCACCAUGGCUCUCGCCACGCCCGCCGGCUCGGCGGACCCGCUCACCGCGGAUUGGAGCUGGAGCUGGACGCGGAUCCACCCCGCAGCAUCCGCGCCUCCGCCGCCGUGGCUCGCCUCCACAGCAGCGGCCCCGUCAGGCCGACCUUGCCUCGCCUCUGUUGUUUGCCGCUGUGGCCUCGUCUCGCCGCCUCGCCCCGCUGGGUGGAUAUCGCCUCCAAAACGGCUGCGGGCCAGAUGUCUUGCCUA
rnacentral:lncRNA from 1 species